CAUCAAUCAAAGACUACAGGUAAUAUUCCUAUUAACUAUACAGGCACACAGUGACUGAGCAGGCUGCUAUAAUUUGAGGCUGAAGCAGAUGAUUCAUUGCAUAUCAAUAAAUGGGCUUGUCAGUGCUUGUUGAUCCUUGCUGACUGCUCCCUCUUCCAUGAUGUGGGUAGAUAUACUGUAGAUCACAUAGAUAUUAAAAGAACAGAAUUCAUUUUGCAUUAAAAACAAUAUUUAGAUUUGAUAGAUAUUUUACAACUCUGUCUACAGGAGAGAAGACUCGGCAGAUCUCCAUGAGCUAUUAGGAGUUUGAUGUCGGGUCUAAUUUUAGGGGUUUCAGUCAGGCAUCCGGGGCAGAGUGUUUCAAUGGUGGAGCAGCUGGAGAUGCUGGCACAGCCCUGACCUGCCAGACUGACAAGGACACCCACUCACUACACCCCACUAGGCUGGCUGGGACAAUGAACAUCUGCAGGGAUGGAGAAUGGGGAGGACUGAGGGAAGCAAGACUGAAAUCUGGGAAGCAGCAAAGAGCUGGCAGUGCAUUCCUUGGGCAGCUUCAGACAACCACACGGGCAGGUUGUACCAGUUUUGCCUUUUGUCUGCCUGCUAGCUUACUUUGUAAAGGAUACAGACAUUGACUGCAAGAGUCAUUGAAUACAACU
rnacentral:lncRNA from 1 species